UGGGCGAAUCCAUCCUAAAAACAAAACCAAAAAACAAAAAACAACCGGGUAGGCCCAAACCAUGACCUGGUCUAAUAAAAAACACUUAAAAAAUGAAGGAUUUCCUAAAUGAGCUAAGAUCAGCUCAAUAAAAUCCUCUCCGCCUCUUCUCCUUUUUCCAAUGUUGUCUUUGGCAAUCUUCAGUUCAAGCUACUCCUACUUUGGUAAUAAAUUUCGUUCCUUGGUGUAGCUAUGAUGGAUGCUUCUCCAGCUAUAAGAGGUCUAGUCCGUCGAGUCCAGGCAUACAUUCCUGUUAUUAAAGGGAGGGAGAUAAUGAGAUGCUUGGACCCACUAGUAAUUGUAUGAUGCCAAAAUCCCCAGCUGCAUAUGUUGACAAUCUAACCAUCGACCCCCUAAUCUACUGAGAGUCCUUUUUGUUGGCUGGUUACUUAGGCUAAGUAGUAUUUCCCCUUUUUUGUACCCCCAUCUUGGAUUGUACCGAUGAAUUUGAAUGAACUGUACUAGCCUGUCCAGUCUGUGUAAAUAUGGGUAACUGCUAGCCUCAGAUAAGAUGACUGAUACUUAUAACUAUUGAGAAUCCUUCUAGCUGUCCUAGACAGUUGAUAAAAUGUUGUAUA